rnacentral:ncRNA from 1 species
AUUUGCCAAUAAUGUUUUCAUUAAUCACCAAAGUCAGUCAGAGGUACCAAGUUAAUCAGAAAGCAUCUUAGGUCCAACCACAAACAAUGUGGACUGGAGAUGCAGUUGUAUUAUUCCCAUGACCCUCCUGGGCAACUUCCUGGAAACCUAAGUGUUUGGGUUUGGGGGGAGUAUGGUUGCAAAGCUCAAACUUAAAGGAAUUGAUGGAAGGGCACCACUAGGAGUGGAGCCUGCAGCUUAAUUUGACUCAGCAUGGGAGACCUCACCUGGACCAGACAAGGAGAGGAUUGACAGAUUGAUAGCUCUUUCUUGAAUCCAUGGGUGGUGGUGCAUGGCCAUUCUUAUUUGGUGGAUCGAUUUGUCUGGUUAAUUCCAAUAAGGAAGGAGACUCUGGCAUGCUAACUAGUUAAGCGACCUCUGAGUGGUCAGCAUGCCCCAACUUCUUAGAGGGACAAGUGGCAUUCAGUCACCUGAGAUUGAGCAAUAAAACUUCUGUGAUGCCCUUAGAUGUCUGAGGCUGCAUGCACACUACACUGACUGGCUCAGCCUGUGCCUACUCUAUGCCAGCAGGAGCGAGGAACCCAUUGACCCCUAUUCAUGAUGGGGAUCAGGGAUUGCAAUUAUUCCCCAUGAAUGAGGAAUUCCCAGUAAAUUCGGGUCAUAAGCUUGCAUUAAUUAAUUCCCUGUCCUUUGUACACACUGCCUGUCACUACUGCCAAUUGGGUUUUUUAUUGAGGCCCUCAGAUCGGCAAUGCAGGGGUCUGCCCAUGGCCCUGGCUGAGUGCUGAGAAGAAGUUGAACUUAGCUAUCUAGAGGAAGUAAAAGUCCCAACAAGGUUUAUGCAGGUGAACCUGCAGAAGGAUCAUUA